rnacentral:tRNA from 1 species
AGUAAUGUGCCUGAUUUAAAGGAAUAUCUUGAUAGGAUAUAAUAUAUACACUCUGUAUUUUUACUA